AGGCACAGGGCUGAUGUUGCUUCUGCCCUUAGAUCCUUCUCCCCUCUACAGCCUGGACAGGCCCCUCAAGGCCGUGUUCCCAGUACCAUGACAGGCUCUGGAGUGGACGCCAGGACAGCCAGCUCCGGGAGCAGCGUGUGGGAAGGACAGCUGCAAAGCCUGGUGCUGUCUGAAUAUGCGUCCACUGAGAUGAGCCUUCAUGCCCUCUAUAUGCACCAGGUGAGUGGGCAGCCCCAAAGCAGUAGAUUCUAGGCCUUCUCUGCCUCUACAUUUUCACAGAAGUCAUUUAGUGGGGAAGCCGGGGUUAAGACAGUUUCUCUGUAUAACAGCCCUGGAUUGUCUGGAACUCACUCUAUAGAACAGGCUGGCUUUGAACUCACAGAAAUCCACCUGCCUCAGCCUCCUGAGUGCUGGCAUUAAAGGCACACACCACCAUACCUGGCUGUCACAUAUGUCCUCGCUUGUGUUCCCUACCCUGUUCUCUUCCUCCUACUAUCUCCAAGACUCAGUAUAAAUUUCCUGUCUCCACUCUCCUGAAUCUAAUUUUUUUUCCAGUACUGAGGAUUGAACAGGUAAGGCCUUGGACAUGUUAGGUAAGCCUUGAGCUAUAUCCUCAGCCUUCUUUCUAUAUCCUCAGCCUUCUUUUGCCUUAUUAUUCUAAGAGCUGUUUUCACUAAGUUACCUAGGCUGGCCUUGAACUCAUUUUGUAGCCAGGCUGGCUUUGAACUUGUGAUC
rnacentral:lncRNA from 1 species